rnacentral:rRNA from 1 species
GCGACCCCAGGAUGGC